AAACCCAGAGGCAAAAGGGGUUGGCACGCUCCCUCCCAGCCUAGUCCUUGCAUCACUGUCCAUGGGCAAUUCCUCUGCCCUGCAUCUUCAGGCCAUUUCAGGUAGAGGUAUCCAUCUCAGGGACCUCAGUGGACACUUCCGUGGGCACUGCCAGCCGCCUGGGGGGCACAUAGGAUCCCAUACCCGCUGCCCUCUCCGCCUCUUCCUGACUGUAGGGCUCGACGCUCAGCUGCUUCAGCCUGGGAGAAAGAAAAACAGGAGUUGGGAGCUGACCAGCCCUAGCUUGUCCCUGACGCCAGGAUCCGGGUCUGAGAAACGGGAGGCGGGCGGACCCACGGGUCCCAAGAGAGAAGACUCUGCGCGGCCUGGGGCUUCAACUUCACAUCUCCCGGCCGGUACCGCGGACCCUCCUCCGCCCCAGGCCGGGCUCGUCCGGGACUCACGCGC
rnacentral:sRNA from 1 species